UGGGGAAUAUUGCACAAUGGGCGCAAGCCUGAUGCAGCCAUGCCGCGUGUAUGAAGAAGGCCUUCGGGUUGUAAAGUACUUUCAGCGAGGAGGAAGGCGUUGUGGUUAAUAACCGCAACGAUUGACGUUACUCGCAGAAGAAGCACCGGCUAACUCCGUGCCAGCAGCCGGGGUAAUACGGAGGGUGCAAGCGUUAAUCGGAAUUACUGGGCGUAAAGCGCACGCAGGCGGUCUGUCAAGUCGGAUGUGAAAUCCCCGGGCUCAACCUGGGAACUGCAUCCGAAACUGGCAGGCUAGAGUCUUGUAGAGGGGGGUAGAAUUCCAGGUGUAGCGGUGAAAUGCGUAGAGAUCUGGAGGAAUACCGGUGGCGAAGGCGGCCCCCUGGACAAAGACUGACGCUCGGGUGCGAAAGCGUGGGGAGCAAACA
rnacentral:rRNA from 1 species